UACGGAAGGGGCAAGCGUUGUUCGGAAUCAUUGGGCGUAAAGGGCGCGUAGGUGGUUCUGUAUGUCUACCGUGAAAGCGUACGGCUCAACCGUAUUUUGUCGGUGGAAACUGCAUUCGAUACUACCGUGCUUGAGGACUGGAGAGGAGACUGGAAUUUACGGUGUAGCGGUGAAAUGCGUAGAUAUCGUAAGGAAGACCAGUGGCGAAGGCGGGUCUCUGGACAGUUCCUGACGCUGAGGCACGAAGGCCAGGGGAGCAAACGGG
rnacentral:rRNA from 1 species